CAGGUGGGCCCCCCAGCUCACUGCCAGCGCGGCCUCUGUCCCUCUCGGGCCGGCUCUCCAUUUUGUCGCCUGCAGCCCGCCUUCUCCGUGGCUCUCCAGCCGCUGGGGCCGCAGAGCCGAGGCCGGGUUACCUCAGGAAACGCGAUGUGGUAGUGGGUCGGAAUAAACCCGCGCGCCCCAGAAUUCGCCUUGGGGGCGUAAGGACAGAUUCGGACUUUUCGCUUCCUGUGUCCACAUUUGUUGAGCACCUAGUAUGUGAGAGCCGAGGCUGUAGGGAGAGGAACGCAGCGGGCGGAGUAAAGCCAGGGCCUUUUCUCUGGGAGCCGCUGCCUCCAGGGCCAUCGCCGACCCUGCUCCGAGAUCCCAGCCGCCGCUCUCCGUGCAGGAGGGGUGCCCACCCUGGGGAGGCCUGCGUGCCGGAGUGGAGGGACAGGGCUUCAAGCGACCGGGAGUUUCCAGCAAACCCCUGAUCCCUGGGCAGUUUAUUUUAAAAGCUUUUGCAAAUGUUGGACGGUUUAGCUUGGUGGAGGCCUUCUUUGCACUAAAUUCUCCUGUCCUCCCCCUUCGAAACACACAAAAUGAAUUUUGAACAGAUUUUGGAUGAGAGGUUUUCUUCCUUUUUUCAUCUUCUGAAACAUUUCCCCCUCAUUUCUUCUCAAAUAAAGACCCAGAAACCCGGGUCAGUUACUCGGUGUACAGAUAGUCAAAUACUGAGGAAACCAGUCGAUAUUUGCCAAAGAUUGGGCAUGUUCUGGGUGGUCUCAGAUUUUGAAGAAACGAAUUUUUUACUGCACAAAAUAGUUUUACAGUCAGUUCCAUCAGACAGCCCCAGGGGCUCUCCUAGGGAAAGGGGCCAAUAGGCAAGGUUGCAUGGGGAUAAGAGAGGCAAGCGGCCAGUGGAAAACUUUUUUUUUUUUUUUUCUAACAGUUGGGCAUUUCUGUAGCUCUGAAAGCAAACUUGUUUGUUUCGUUUCAACGAUAGAAAAAAAACACUUCUGUUUUGGAAAUGUAACCCAGCAUAAAAAUACAUUUGCAAUGGGGAAAAAGAAGGCAGUUUAGGGCCACCCAGAAGAAAAUAUUUUUCCCCUGAUUUUUUUUUAAUUUGGUAUUUCCCAGUGUGGGUUUGCCUCAUUUUACAAAUAGCUGCCCAUGUCAAGUUGUGGGUAUGUGAUUUAAAUAUUUUAAUUUGAAUCGCAUUUUACAUAGUCUAGGAAACUGACAAAAGAAUCCUAUAGAGAAUUGUUUUAUAAAGUGAAUAAUUGCUUCUCUACCUACCCGCCCCCCUCAUUCUUCUUUUCUGUGCGUGUUUUUGGAGGGAUGUUAGGGGAUAAAUCUGGUUUGGCUUAAAAAUCACUAAAACGCAGCCUUUCAAAUCCAAAACAGAGCUUAGGUACCCAACAUUCUAUAGAAUGUGUUAUUUCCUCAAGAGGUUGCUAGGAACAGUUACGUAGAUCUACCAGGUGCAGGGAAGCACUCCACACCCUCACCCAGGUCCUGUAUCCCUGCAAGACUGCGCUGGAAAGACUGAAGAGAGACAGGGUCUUUCUCUGCCACUCAAGCUGGAGUGCAGUGGCAUGAUCAUAGCUCACCGCAGCAUCAACCUCCUGGGCUCAAGCCAUCUUCCAACCUCACAGCCACCUGGGUAGCUGGGACUAUGGGUACUCACCCCAUACCCGGAGCUGACAAGCCAUAGCAGAAUGGCUAUCCCCUGAGAGAUAGGAGAGGAGGAGAAACAGCCCGACAGGGGCCUGGAGCAGCUGGCUGGCGUCAGUAAUUUCCUGCAAGAGACUCUGUCGGUCAAGCACACGUCACCCUUCUGUUGCUCCUCUGUAUUCUCCCUUGUGCUACUAAAAUACGCUAAUGUAAUUCCUGGGCUGUGCUAAGCUAAAUGCAGUUAUUUAACCUAAUUUCUAUGGAACCCAGGUCUAAAGCAGCACAUCUAUUUGGAACAAGAUGGGGAGGAGGUAAGCCCCAAACAUCCCUGAGCAGCAGGAAUACACAUUACAAAGUUUCUCUUUCCACACAGAAGAGACUUCUGGGCCCUUGCUUAAGACCACUGACUUUUACUUAACAGGUAGGUCUAGUUAGCUUGGUGAACUGCUUUCUGACACCUGAACAGAUUGGAAGCAGGGAAUUGAAGGUGAGGAAAGACUGCCACAAACAAGAGCCAAGAAUUAAGAGCCAAACCAAGGAGGUGACAUUCACGGCAACAACCGUUGAUGCAAGAGUGAAUUCAUGCUCUUCUUCAUGGAGGUGGAUGUUUCUGGAAGAAGUUUUGUGAUGUCCUUUGCAGGGACAUGGAUGGAGUUGGAAGCCCUUAUCCUCAGCAAACUAAUGCAGGAACAGAAAACCAAACACUGCAUGUUCUUACUUAUAAGUGGGAACUGAAUGUUGAGAACACAUGGACACAUACGGGGAAAUGACACACACUGGGGCCUGUCAGAGCUGAGGGGUUGUGGGGAGAGGGAGAGAAUCAGGAAGAAUGGCUAAUGUAUGCUGUGCUUAAUAUCUAGGUGAUGGGAUGAUCUGUGCAGCAAACCACCAUGUCACACGUUUACCUAUAUAACAAACCUGGACAUCCUGCACAUGUAUCCCAGAGCUUAAAAUAAAAGUUGAAGAAAAAAAAAAAAGAAAAAGUUUUGUGAAGUCUGGAGGUGUAAUGGACAGACACAGGCUUAGGGUGAGGCAGGCCCAUGUUCAGAUCCUUGCUUCCUCACUAAGCUAGUGGGAAGACUGGCUAAAUCACCAAGCCUCAGUUUCGUCACCUGUACAUCUGCUGUAGAAGUGGCACAUCAUAUGCCAUCCUGGCUGUGACCUUCGGUAGCUCAUCACUGCCCUUCUUACUGUUCUCAGGGUAAACCCCUUUCCAGGCAGAGUUGCCAAGAUACCCAGUAAAAUUUGAAUUUCAGAUAAACACUGAAUAAUUUUUUUAGUAUAAUGAUGCUCCAAAUAUUGCAUGGGAUAUACUUAACACUAAAAAAAAAAAAAAAUCAUUGUUUAUCUGAAAUUCAGAUUUAACUGGGCAACCUGCAUUUUUAAAUAAACUUUUAAUUUUAGAAUCAUUUUAGAUUUACAGAAAAAAAUAUAAAGAUUGUACAGAGUUACCACAGACCCCACACCCAGUUUCCCCUAUAACUAAUAUAUUACGUCAAGCCAGUGCAGUGGUGCACGUUUGUAAUCCUAGCUGCUCAGGAGGCUGAGGUGGGAGGAUCGCUUGAGCUCAGGAGUUAGAGGCUGCAGUGAGCCAUGAUUGCGCCAUUGCACUCCAGCCUGAGUGACAGAGUAAGACGCCAUCUCUUAAAAGAAAAAUCUUAUGCCAGUAUGAUACAUUUGUCACAAUUAAUGAACUAAGAUUGAUAUAUUAUCAUUAACUAAAGUCUAUACUUCAUUAGAUUUCCUUAGUUUUUCCCCAGUGUCCUUUUCUAUUCCAGGAUCCUGUCCAGGACACCGUAUCAUAUUUAGUUGUCAAGUCUCCUUAGUUCCUCUUGGCUGUGACAGUUUUUUAGACUUCCCUUGUUUUGAUGACCUUGACUGUUUUGAGGAGCACUGGUCUGGGGUUUUGUAGAAUGCCCCUCAGUUCAGCCUGUCGGAUGUUUUUCUCAUGAUUAGGCUGGGGUAUUAUUUUUUUGGGAGGAAGACCACAGAGGUCAAGAGCCAUUCUCAUCACAUCUCGUUAAGGGUCUGUACUGUUCAUAUGACUUACCACUGUCGAUGUUGACCUUGAUCACCUGGCUAAGGUAGUGUUCAUCAGAUUUAGCAACUGUAUUUUCAUUUGCUAAAUCUGUAACUCGAUUCCAGGCCUGUCAAUCUUUCAUGACCAGACCUUUGUUUACUGCUGCAGCCAUUUUUCUGCUCCAACCAUAGUGAACUGCUAACAAUUCCUCUAAUGAACUACUCUCUGUCUCUCUUACUGCCAGGCCUUAGGGCUUGCUCUUUCCUUUGCCUGGAAUGCUCCACUCCCCCACAACCUUCCAUCCACACUUCCCCUUCACCCUAUUAUCUUACUUUUCAUUUGGGCUUCAGUGUUCCGCUUAGGUUUCACUCCUUCUGGGAAGAUUUCUUACACCCUCCUCUGCCAAGACCAGGUUAGGUGUUGCUUCUCUGCCCUGGUCUUACUCUGUUGUGAUAUUUACCAUUCUGUUGUUGUGAUCUGUUUGCUUGUCUACCUGACCCCAGUGCAUCCCUGACAUCUUACACAGUGCCUUCUUGCAAUUCAAUAAAUAAUUGCUGAAUAAAUGAAUGGUUACACCAGACACUUCAGGUAAAGCCUUUAACACACUACCUGCCUUGUAAACAGUAGAUGCUCAGUAAAUGCUUGUCUUUUUCAAUGUAGGAAAAAUAAUCUUCCCUAGAUCUGAGCAACUUUAUUAAGUUUGUGCUUGCCCAACACCCGCAACACAUGCCCCUACCUGGAGAAGAGAUUCUGGAACAGUGGUCUCCUAGGAUUCCCUGAGAGCCACAGUUACCUGUAUCAAAGUAUCAAGGAGGCCACUUAAUGACAGAGAUUUUAGGGUAAGUAGGCUACUUUCCGUCAGUUUGUAGAUUAAAAAGGCAUCUUUCUCCCAGUGGAGAAACUGAAUUAUGAACCCCUUCGCCCAGAUUUCCAUAGUUGGGCGCCCCGACCCAUUGUUUUUUAGUGAAAGGAACACAGGGACCCACCUCCUUCUCUUUUUGCUGCCCAUGUGCUGCACAUAUGUAAAUGACACGUGUACCUAUUGUUGCUUGUCCUUGAUGAUGAGUACACUUGUACAUUGAUGUAUUUAUUAGUGUUUUGCUUUUCACUAAUCCAGUGUAGUUGUGACCCCACCCCUGAGACCUAAAGGAAGGAGACACCUCAUAGGGGGUCUCAGGAAUCUCUGAUGAACCUUAGGACUAAUUAUAAUUCUUUCAUUUAUUAUUACUUCCUGCCAGGUAUUUUAUCUGCCUCACCUCUAAUCCUCUCAAUAACCUUGCACAUUAGUUUUUAUUCAUCCCAUAUUACAAAUGAGAAAGCUAAAGUUUCGGUGCUUCAGAAAUUUUCCCAAAGUUUUUUGUGGUGGAGCCAGCUUGGAGCUAGGGCAAUAGACUUCAGAGUCUCAGCUCCAUCCUCUCCAUAGUUCAGAAAGUUCUAUAGUUCUAUAAGAGACAGCCAGCAUCCCCCAAGGGCUUGUGCUCAUUGGAAUGGCUCUCGGGUCCACUCCUCCCUUUGUAUCCCCAGGUCACCUCACCAGAGCAGACCUCCAUCAGUCGGUGUUUACCCACCUUCCAGAGCCUUCUUCCUGGACUCUUGCCCUCAGAUUCCCCACCCAUAGCACUCUUACACUUCCAACGCCCAACUCAGGAUCCCAAGAAUGCCCAUUUUCAGCCUUAUAAAUCCUUUGCCUUGCUUCCAAGACCCUAUAGUCUAUUUCUUUUCUAAGCCUUCUCUCCAUGCAUCAGAUUCUUCAUGAAACUUACACUGACUAGUCCCCCACCCAUCUCCCUCUCCUUGGAUCUUCAUGGCACCUAGGUAUGCAAGGCAUAAAGUAGUGUAGAAUGCUCUUCUGGCUUAUGUGGAACCACAGGGGAGUCCUCUGGGUUUCUAAUAUGGUUUCCUCAUCUGGAUUGACACCUCCUGAAGGACAAAAACCUCUUGUUAAAAAAGUCAACUUUAUUGAGGUGUAACAUACAUACACCCUGUUUUAAGUGUUCAGUUUGAUAAGGUUUGACAAAUGUAUACACCCAUGUAACCACUGUCACAACCAAGAUAUAGAACAUUUCUAUAUCUCUGAAAUACCUCUGAGCCCCUUUGUAGUCAAUUCCUCCACCCCCGACCCAGGCAGCCACUUGCUGGAUUUCUAUUAAUAUAGAUUAGUUUUGCCUGCCCUUGAACUCUACAAAAAUGCAGUCACAAAGGGUGUAGUCUGUUGUGUCAGC